rnacentral:rRNA from 1 species
UUGGAGGGCAAGUCUGGUGCCAGCAGCCGCGGUAAUUCCAGCUCCAAUAGCGUAUAUUAAAGUUGUUGCAGUUAAAAAGCCCGUAGUUGAAUUUCGGGGUCAGUAGGCUGGUCGUGCCUCAGGUACGUACUGGUCUUACUGAUUCCUCCUUCCUGACGAACCGUAAUGCCAUUAAUUUGGUGUUGCGGGGAAUCUGGACUGUUACUUUGAAAAAAUUAGAGUGUUUAAAGCAGGCUAACGCUUGAAUACAUUAGCAUGGAAUAAUGAAAUAGGACGAUCGAUCCUAUUUUGUUGGUUUCUAGGAUUGACGUAAUGAUUAAUAGGGAUAGUUGGGGGCAUUAGUAUUCAAUUGUCAGAGGUGAAAUUCUUGGAUUUACUGAAGACUAACUACUGCGAAAGCAUUUGCCAAGGAUGUUUUCAUUAAUCAAGAACGAAAGUUAGGGGAUCGAAGACGAUCAGAUACCGUCGUAGUCUUAACCAUAAACUAUGCCGACUAGGGAUCGGAUGAUGUUAAUUUUUUAAUGACUCAUUCGGCGCCUUACGGGAAA